rnacentral:rRNA from 1 species
GACGAACGCUGGCGGCGUGCUUAACACAUGCAAGUCGAACGGAAAGGCCCUGCUUUUGUGGGGUGCUCGAGUGGCGAACGGGUGAGUAACACGUGAGUAACCUGCCCUUGACUUUGGGAUAACUUCAGGAAACUGGGGCUAAUACCGGAUAGGAGCUCCUGCUGCAUGGUGGGGGUUGGAAAGUUUCGGCGGUUGGGGAUGGACUCGCGGCUUAUCAGCUUGUUGGUGGGGUAGUGGCUUACCAAGGCCUUGACGGGUAGCCGGCCUGCGAGGGUGACCGGCCACAUUGGGACUGAGAUACGGCCCAGACUCCUACGGGAGGCAGCAGUGGAGAAUAUUGCACAAUGGGCGGAAGCCUGAUGCAGCAACGCCGCGUGCGGGAUGACGGCCUUCGGGUUGUAAACCGCUUUCGCCUGUGACGAAGCGUGAGUGACGGUAAUGGGUAAAGAAGCACCGGCUAACUACGUG